rnacentral:rRNA from 1 species
AUGGACCAUUCCAUCCCUUUUUCCCGUGCAUAUGCAUCAGACUCGGAUGACGAUGGUCCCAACGAACAAGUUGAUGCGGAGGGGUUCACGGUGAAGGAGGCCGAAGCUUUCGAGAAGGUAUUCGGUCGUGAUCAUCGGACUACAUUGUUCAAGGAUGUUAGUCUCGCAGAUGAAGCCGUGGUAGAUGGUGGCCAAUGUAUAUCUGUUGGGGUUAGGCCAAGCUCUCAC